UCCCAGUCCGGCCCAAGAGGUGUCAUCAUCA
rnacentral:piRNA from 2 species